GCAUAAGUAUAUUUUAAUAUUACAGAUUUCCUGAUUUCACCAGUAGUUUUAAUGCAACUGUGUCUACUGGCAAUACACCAAGCGUCGGUGUUAGAAAAACUAGCACUUCUACUCGAUUUGUAAAUGGCAAGAAAAUUGAAACAAAGAAGGUUCUAGCGAAUGGCGUAGAAACAGUAACUGUACAUGAAGAUGGAGUUUUGAAAUCAAGGACUGUAAAUGGUGUCCCACAACCACUCAAUGCUCUACGUUAAAAUAUCUUAAGCAAUUUGUCAGUCUAAAGAUAAACUCUGCUUUUAUUUUCAGUCAUUACAUUGAGAAAUCUUAUAAUUUGGUUGCUACAAAUAUAUGUUGCCAUUUCAAAAACAACCAUUUAUUGUAUAUAUUUUGAGCUAAUAAUCUUGUAAUAUUUAUGCUUCUUUUGAAGGCUGUAAAAAUUUUUUCUGAAGAUGCAUAUAAAAUACCUAUCUGUUAAUAAUGCUAAGCGUGUGAGUGAAUGGCAUUGUGCAGUGUACAUUUAUUUAACCCAUUCUUUAAUGAUUUAAAUGGCCAUUUUUUUCCUUGUACUUAAGCAUAAACAAACUUAUUUUAGAGUGGAAUGUAUUUAUUUCAGUAAUUAAAAACAUUUAAAUGUGAAUGAUAUGUAUGAUAUAUUUGAUUUUAAGCAAUACGGGGAACUCCGCUGUACUUAAAAUAAUUGAAAACAAGCUGUACUUUGUAUGGCUUAAAAUUUUAGAAAAGGAAAUUAUUCAGAAUCGGAAUUAUUGUAUAAUUUGUAUUUAAUUAUCUUUAAACUGGCUCAUUUCAAUUUUUUUAAAAUUCCCGUGGUGAAAUGUUACGUUAUGCAUGUGAAAGAACUUAUUCCCCCUGUGAAUUCAUAUUUAUGCAUUUAAGUUUAAAAUGAAAACUAAUACUGGAAACAGUUCUAGAUUUUAAUUGUUAAUCAUAAUGCUUCAAAUAUUAAUUUUCAUUAAUUUCUUUUUUAUUAAUAAGUUGUUACACGGAAGUUUUAAAAUUUUCUUGUAUUAUGGAAUAAAUUAUUUUAGUAUGAGCAUUAGGUGAAUACAUUUUGAAAUUUUAUUUUGGAAGAAUUAUUAUUUUAAUGUGAAGCAUAACGUGAAUAUGAUAUUUCAAAAUGUAAUACUGAAUUUUGCACAUUUUUCAUCUCAUUAACCCUUUAGUGAAAUGCACUCAUUUGGUUCUGUAUAUACAUGUUCUGUGUAUUAUAUUCAGUUUGUUUUGUGCUUAUUGUCACUGUUAUCUUUUAUUCCAUGUAAAGAACCGAAUUGGCAGACAUCUGUUUUUCAAUGUUGGAUGUCUUUCGGUUUAAGCUGAAGUGAAAAAUUAAAUACUAAUAAUCUUAA